rnacentral:lncRNA from 1 species
AGAAAAUGGUUCAUAUAGCAGAAUACAAUGGUUCAUAGAAAAUCCUCAUUCAUCAAAGUAGACGAUAUGGAGAAAGACGACUAUAGUGAUCCUGAAGCAACUCCGUUGAUCGAUGUAAGUGAAUUUCGUCGUUGGUCUUUUUACCGAGCCAUAAUCGCCGAGUUUGUAGCAACAUUAUUUUUCCUAUACAUCUCUGUCACUGCAUUGAUCGGGUACAAAAACGAACCAGACAAAUGCAACAGCAUAAGUCUGCUUGGAAUCGCAUGGGUGUUCGGAGGCAUGAUUUUCGUACUAGUCUCACUAUAAGAAAAGAGGUCUACAGCGACGAUUUUAGCGACGAUUUUGGAUCGUCGUUAAAUUACAAGAAGGAUUUUGAAGAAAACCCGCGAUAUUCGUCGUUGAUUAUCUUUUUUUUUGUUUAAUUAGCGAUGAUAUGUUGAUGAUCGUCGUUAGAUAUAACAUUUAGCGACGAUUUAAAAUUUAUCAUCGCUAAUAAUGCGGACCUAUUUAUAAAAUUUUAAAAAAAUAAGGUAUUAUUUAUAAAUUUCCCAAAAGUAAUGUUAUUUCCCCCCCAAAUCGAUUUCCCCCCAAAACUCCCAAAACCCAAUUUAUUAAAUUAGGACCAAUUUAUUAAAUUACCCAAUUAAAUUCCCAAAUUUCCCCAAAUACUUCCCCUAAACCUAAACCCUCCAUUUACCCCAAAUUUUUCCCAAAUUAAAAUACUAAAGUUGAUUAUUUAAAGGUUAAAAAUUUAAAAUACCCAUUUAUAAAAUAAGUAUUUAAACCCAAACCCCUAAAUUAAACUCACCGAAAAAACCCCAAAUCCUACAUCGUCUUUUCUUCCCUCCUUACACUCUCCGGCGAUUUUCCAAUCCAACCUCUGUCGACGUGGCGAGGAGUUCCUCCGGUGACAGAAGCGACUUUCCUCUGGUGAGUUUUAUUUACCUUUGGCCGUAGACUUUCCUCUGGCCGUGUUCUUAUUAUCUAAAUUUACUCUACUGUCAAGUAUCUCAUAACUCAAGUCAUUAUUUCUAACACAAUCUCUUACCCAACUCACAAGAUCACCAUCACCAUCACAUCCACUUCCUUCUAAUUGUUGUAUAGAUUUUCUCCCUGUCACCCAGUUCUAGCAAAACAACUCCGUAGCUAUAGAUAUCACUUUUCUCUGUUACCUUCAUUGUAUAUGCAUAUUCUGCAGGGAAAGAAAUCACAAAAACAAAACAAAAGGUGUUAUUAUAAUUGCAAAUUUGCAUAUUCCAAUCUCAUUUCCCUCCAUUUCAUUUCCCCUAAUCUUGUUUCCCCCCAUUUCAUUUUCCCCAAUCUCAUUUCCUCCAAUAUUUUCCCCUGGCUUCAAUAUUACAACAUCGUUUCUUUCCCAUUCUUUCAGCCUAACCUUCCACAACCCUCAAUAAUCCAUCACUUCCAUGAUCGUGACCUAACCUUCCACAACAUUUAUGGACUGAGACAACAUAUUCCAGAAACGCUAAGUAAUUAAUACAUCAAUUUGAUUCUUCUUUGGUUUUCUAUAUUCUUCUUUUUCAUUUAGGCUUUUCAUUUUCUAUUUUUCCUCUUUUAUUCCUUAAUCUUCCUCUCUUCCUCUUACAUUCUCUUCUUUUUCCAUUUUAUUCUUCAUCGUUUAAUCUUUCUCUUUUUCUCAUUCUUGUUCAAGAUUUUCUGCUUUAAAACCUAGAUAUUGAAAAAUAAUUUUAGGGUUUGUCAUUCUUUUUAAUACUGUUUCGUUUUUGAUGCAACAAGUUUUUUUAUUGAAUUUGUUGGUAUAAAAUCUACUUCAAAAAGGAAUUGGUUCUAUCGAAUGUUUUGUAAGUCUAAUGUUUAAAACAGUAAAUAAAGAAUUUGGAUAUAAAGUAAAUAGAUCAUGUGUCACAACAUCUUAUCAUUUGAAUCUGUUAUCUUUAUCUUUUAAAUGGCCAAGUGUUAAAAAACUGUAAUUUGGGUAUAAGGAAUUUCCAAUGUUCUUCAACACCUGUCCGCCAUGUGCCAUGACAUCUUAUGUGAAUUCAUUAUCUUUUCAUUUUAGAUGACCAACUGUCAAAAAUCUGUAAUUUGUAAAAUAAUUUAUACGUAUUUUGUAAAUAUUAUAAUUGCUUAUGUAGGUAUCUACAUCUAUUUUUAAGGUUACGUUAUAUAUGAAAUAUAUUUUAUCAAUUUUGGCAUUCUAUUUAGCAUUAUGUUUUGCUUGUAUAUAUAAAUCUUAAAUGUUUUGCUGAUUUUUUUCUUUUAAAAUUUUAAAUGUUGUUUGAUUAUUAUUUUUUCAUUUUCAGAUUGAUUAGAAGAAGAAUAUAAAAAGCAAAGAAGGUAUCUUGUCAUUUAUUUAAUUUUAAGAUUUUAAAUCUAGGUUCUCAAAAUAACUUUGAUUUUAGAAAUGUCCAUACUCAAUAAUUCAUUCUCUGCACACUUGGAUCUCCUUUCUGUAUUUUUUUACAUAUUUGGGCAUUAUUUUGCUGAUUUGCUUGUAUUUUUUUUUCAUAUUUGGGGUUUUCAUUUUUAUUAGCAUUAUGUUGUUGUUGCUGAUUUGCUUGCUGAAUUCCUUAGCAUUUCAUUUAGCAUUAUGUUUGAUUAUAUAUAAAUCUUAAAUGUUUGUUGCUGAUUUAUUUGCUUGCUAAUGUUUGUAUUUUGCUUCUAUAUAUAAAUCUUAAUUGUUUUGCUGAUUUUUUUUUUAAAAUUUUAAAUGUUGUCUGAUUUUUUUUUUCUUUUUCAGAUUGAUUAGAAGAAGAAUAUAAAAGGCAAAAAAGGUAUCUUGUCAUUUAUUUAAUUUUAAGAUUUUAAAUCUAGGUUCUCAAAAUAACUUUGAUUUUAGAAAUAUCCAUACUCAAUAAUUCAUUCUCUGCACACUUAGAUCUCAUUCAACUAUCAAUAUCUCAUUUAUCCCUUUCAAUCAUUUCUGGUUAUGGAGUAUUAUAUCUCAUGAGAAUGAUUCAUAUGAGACAUCUUGGAUAAUGAGAUAUAACAUCUCAUUCGUUCCAUUUAUCCAACUUAUCUCUUCCCAAAAGUAAUGUUAUCCCCCCCUCCAAAUCGAUUUCCCCCCAAAACCCCCAAAACCCAAUUUAUUAAAUUAGGACCAAUUUAUUAAAUUACCCAAUUAAAUUACCAAAUUUCCCCAAAUACUUCCCCUAAACCUAAACCGUCCAUUUACCCCAAAUUUUUCCCAAAUUUCCCCAAAUGGGGACUAAUAAUGGACAAGUUUUUGGCACCAGAGUUCGUAGAAAAAUCAAAAAAGAAUUCAGCAAAUCGAACUAAAAACGACGAUUAUUUGGUGUACAAGGGUGGAUCGGCUUCUUUUGAAGCCAACUCUCAUGCAUUA